AUUGAACGCUGGCGGCAUGCCUUACACAUGCAAGUCGAACGGUAACAGGUCUUCGGAUGCUGACGAGUGGCGAACGGGUGAGUAAUACAUCGGAACGUGCCCGAUCGUGGGGGAUAACGAGGCGAAAGCUUUGCUAAUACCGCAUACGAUCUACGGAUGAAAGCGGGGGAUCUUCGGACCUCGCGCGGACGGAGCGGCCGAUGGCAGAUUAGGUAGUUGGUGGGAUAAAAGCUUACCAAGCCGACGAUCUGUAGCUGGUCUGAGAGGAUGAUCAGCCACACUGGGACUGAGACACGGCCCAGACUCCUACGGGAGGCAGCAGUGGGGAAUUUUGGACAAUGGGCGAAAGCCUGAUCCAGCCAUGCCGCGUGCAGGAUGAAGGCCUUCGGGUUGUAAACUGCUUUUGUACGGAACGAAAAGCCUCUUUCUAAUAAAGAGAGGCCAUGACGGUACCGUAAGAAUAAGCACCGGCUAACUACGUG
rnacentral:rRNA from 1 species